ACAUCAGAUCCCUGCGAGCAUUUUCAAAAUUCAAUUAUUUUAGACAACAGGCACAUAUGCAAUACUGACAUAAUCCCGAAUACCACUAAGCGGCUGGGACACAUUUUUGUUGACCAUAGUCGCAGGUAAAAUAAGUACAUCAUCUGGACAGCUCCAGCUCAUUUUCCAUAAAUCAGUGUGUACAAGGGGCAUGCAAAAAUAAUUUUUUUCUCGUGCACCGAUUAUUUUGCUGUAUAAGCAAGAGAACCCACCACGUUAGUGUAACGUAUUUUGUACAUCACACUAAUAUGUGCUUUAAUUUACCAAGUGAGACGAGUUACUUUUAUGGCUCAUUCAGUCAUAUCACACUGCAAGCUGCAUUCAUCAAUCUUCAAUUGGAUUUUGCAAAUGUUUAAUGAAACAUGUUCCUCUUUUAUGCAGAUAUGCAAUGGCAAGCCCUUCCGUGUGUUCCAAAGACAAUGCCUACGCCUAGCCACAGCAGCUCCCUCAUACAGACUCCGCAAGCCAAGAGGCCGUGGAGGCAAAUGCAGGCAGCCGGCACACCUCGAACAGCCACUUUGACUGCGGGUGUGUCACACUAGUCGCCAAGGAAACAUUUGAGCGAAAGCGACAGGCAAUGUGAACAGCCACUUCUCCAUGUAAACGAUACUCUUUCUCUCGGAUGACUCCUACGCCUCGCCACGCCAGCACACUUGUGCACAAAGACACAGCCGAGGCACGUGCAGGUCAGAGGCAAGAAGCAGUGACACUGGUGUCGACAUUCACCCAAUUUCUUUUUCUUACUCUGAGGCAGCCAGCACACCUCGAACAGCCACCUUGACUGCGGGUGUGUCAGUAGAUCCCUGUUGUACAUGUGCUCAUAACAAACUUCAGUAAACUUGAACUUGAUAAUAAACUUGAAGGCAAAUGGGACAUUGAUGCAUUGUAUUAUUGAACAUUUAUUGUACACAUACAAUAUAUGUUAUACUUUGCAGUGCUACAGAGCGUAUUUUGAAGCUUCCCCCUAUAUUUUGCACCUUUAAUUACAUAUGUGUUGGGUGGCCCUCAAUGCAGUUCAUGUUGUAGCAGCUGCUUUGUCUGUGUAUGCACAUUGGCUUAAGCUUGUGAUAUCCACAUACUUCUCUCACAUAUACAAAAUAAGGUUCUAUGUUGUCCUCAGUGUUACAAUAACAACUGAAAGUAAACAAUCCGAUUGCGGAAUUGUGUUUAUUACAGUGAUUCCUAUGACAGUUACUGACAAGUUGACAUACUGAACUGGUCAAUCGGUCCAUAGCCUCCUCUAUUUUUCAAAAAUAAAGGAGGCUAUGAUCCGUCAUGGCAAGGAAUUGUAUGUAUACAUAAAAAAGGGGGUAUGUGUGCGUGUUUGUAGUGGGGGGUAUAGGAUUAGGGCGGUACGAAAAAAUGUACCAACACCGUCCUCUAGACCCAUUCCGUUAAGGUACCGUAACAAAGCGUAUUACGCAUAAAGUUCAUACAACCAACUCUGAUAUUACUACACAGGCCAGGCGACGCGAGGUACAUUUGUCAUGACGCGUUCGCGACUGCACCGGAUGCCCUCCAUAUUAUUCUCGUUAAUCGUGCUCACUGCACCGAGGCAAAAGAAAGAUCAUGGGCGCAGGUGCCUUUAAAAUAUCUCGACCUUGCGAGGCACUGCUGCGCGUGCCAGGGGAGCUGUCCGUGCGAACACUCCCUGGCACACACCUGCCUCGGCGGCUCCAACCUACGUACCGUUCUGCUUCGAGCUUUGAUCCCCCCACUGUCCCUUGGGUGCCCUGGAGUUCCUGCGCCGCCUGCUUUAUUAUAAUCUCAGGUGCUCUCCUGAGACUUCCGUUUGUCGGUUACAUGUGCCCUACAGCUGGAUCAGUAUUUGCAAUAAUAAAAAAACCCGAUCUAUCGUCGCGACGAUAGAUCGCGAAAGGGGCUUUUGCAACAUACCGCGCCCAUGCGAAGAGAAUUACGGAAUGCCAACAAGGAAUCUGACCACAGCUUCG